CCGUGUUACUCCGACUAUGAAGGGAUUACUUUUAGGAUUUUUAAUUAUCAGUGACAUCGAGAUGCAUGUUAUCAAAAUAAUGAAGAAAAAAUCAAACACAAUCAUAAAUUUGCUCACCACUAAAAAUAGUUUAGUGAAACUAAACGGAAUUCUCCCAGAGGAGGAGAAAAACAGCCGUUCGUAGGAAAGACUGUACAGUGGAAAAGGUUUUACGUAAACUAUUUAUGUCAAAUAAAUGUCGGCUUUUGGGACACGAGACUUAUUCUAAUCAGAAUGAACUUAAUGUUACAUCCGGUCCGAAUAGGUGGAGGUUUUAGAAUAGAAGUCAGAUGGAAAGAGCAGCAUUAAGGAGACACGAGCAAUGACCCAGCAUGUGGUCUGCACAGCUUGACAACACUAAAUGAAUCUACACAACACGACUAGCGCUCAAAGGGCUUCUAAGGAACCGGCUAAAUCACUUUGACUGAGAGAUAUAUGAGCGGCUGCUUACUAUUAAAUCAUCAUCAAUCUAACCUCACUUAGGGGCUGUUUGUAACGUAUUUAUCUAUUGCAUAUUCCAAACAGGUACGAAGAUUACUAAAAGGGGAAUUAGAUUUGUAAAAGUACAACUUUUAGCAUUACUAAAGCAAUAAAAGAAGAAAAUAGCUUUGGGGUAAUUAGCUGAAUAGGGUCCAUCCAUAUCCAUCGGCAGCGGCUGACAGUUGGAGGGUGUUAGGCUCGUGAAAAUGAAUAUCCUCUCACUACAAAACUAAUUAUAAACAUAAGGGCUGAGUGGGAGAUCGGCGCUGUGGUGGGACCCGUGGAGAGCAAUGCGCACAUAACUGAUGCACCCAGCAGGAAGCGGUCAUCACAGUUCAGGGUGCAAAGGUGUAACUCAAUUUGCAACGUUAUGGAUUAUACACACACAAUUUAUGUAAUGUUUGCCUAAAUUAGACAGUGGGUUAAACAUGGGGAAUGUGCAAGACCUUCGCUCAUGAUAUAUAUUGACUUAAAAUCCUAAAAAUGUAGAUAAAUACAAUGUCCACUUCUGUCCUACAAAGCCUGCAACAGUUUCCUUUUAUACAUCCAAGAGUGUGACUUCAACGAGCCCUGGAAUGUUUCCUUGGUGAAAUCCACUACUCAUUAAGGUUGAAGCUGUCGUAUUUGAGCUUUAGUGUUGGACUGGCCUUGUAUUGAAAGUAUUAAGUUGAAUUGUAACCCAACACUUCUUGAGUUGAAAAGAAUACACCAUUGUUAUUAAUGAGUCUUACAAGGGAUUGCAAUACCAGAAAAAUAAUUUCAUGGUGGUCCAGACAAUAAUGUAACUUAAUAAGAGUAUAAUUAUAAUUGCAAUUUUCCUAUCUCUGAUUUAUUCAGUGGUGCUAAUUACCUCUUCUUUUUGUCAUUCUCCAAAGCUGUGAUUUUUCUUCUUUCAGAGCCAUUUGUUAAGCUUGUGAAAGAAGGAACAUAAUAAAAUAUGAAGAGAAGAAAAAAGGAAAGUACCAUGGGGGCCUUUUCCUACCAGAUAUAAGGAAGUCUAUAAAGAAUUAUUUUGCUCAUAUAAUUUUAAGGGCACGUACGCUUUUCUCUCAUUGGGUUUUUCUUUUUUCUUUAUUUUCAUUUCCGAGUCUCACGACUACAGACAAGCCCAGAAACCACCCAAAAACCACUAGUGGAAGAACAUGAUUUUGGACAGCCUACAUUCUUAAUGAACAGCGGGAGGAUGUAUUUUUAAUAAAGUAACAGUGUAAUCAGUUUGCAACCAGAAUCGCCCCACCAUGAAAUCACCUUAAUUACACGUCUGACAGCGGCUGAUCGGCUCCGUCCCACCAAAGGGGAACACGGCUCAGAAUGAGCUCCGUCAACACUCUUUCUAAUGAGUCGUAUACAAACACAGAAUACAAAAUGCCACCAGUUGUUAUUGUAUUCUUCGGAUAUGGCCACGGGACAUAAAUUGUGAAAUUCACUUCCAUCAUGAAAAGGAUAGACAAAUCAAUUAUUAACUAAAUCUAAAUUGCGGAGCCAUUUUUUACUCCUCUUUCACAGUUUUUUUUUGUUUUGUUCGCACCCUUUUCUCUGCGAAUGCGUUUCAGUUUUCAGUCUUCUCUCAGUGAUCUCUGUGAGGUGGGCCGUGAAUUACGCCAAAGGGGUUCACAUACAGGUGUGAAUCUUCAUUAGUGUAAUCCCAGCGGCAGCAUGAACGAAAUAAGUAAAAUGAUAGAAGAUCAUUAAACAACAAUCCCCAGGAAUAUAUGUUGGUCAUGUUUAUGUGCCGUCCUGCGAUGUAUUCAAUCAUCAAUCUUAUGGCACUAUCAGUACAACAUCACCACAACCUCUGUCUCGUCUAUUUGGUGAUGCUACUGAUGUGUCUUCUGUUAACGCAGCUCACUCGGUGGACGACACCGUUGGUACAGAAAUAUCAUUUUUAAUUAACGCAGACAAACUUGCUUUAGUGGCCUUUUAAGUCCACAUCUUUAAAACACAUUUGCCGUAUUGUAUCUCCAAAGAAAACAAAAUGAACGAAUAAUGGAUGAGAAAUUAUAGUAACUGCGUCAGGUGGAGAAACUUUGCAUCGACGGCCACACUCACAGAGGUCCGACUCGCUUCUAUCCGAUAAUAAAUGGAGCGCCACUCUAACCAAACAAACGUCCCGCUGCACGCUCCUCACGAUGCCCCGCUGCAUCGGGGUAUCUCCUUUAAUUAGGCCACAUCCCUUUCAACUCCGCCGCGACGUCACGGAGCAGAAAUGUCUCUGGGACCGGCGCGGUCUCGAGGUUUUAGUCAUUAAGAAAAUCAGGUCACUCUUUGCAUCUGGAGGAAAUCCGUGGCAAAGUAUGUAAUUACACACACAUGCAUUCCGACGUUGGUUUUAAUGAGCUAUUUCAAAACAACAAGCCUCACCUCAGAGCACAUGCAUUCUUUAUAACCGUCUGUACAGGAUGGAGAGGAAGAGGGAGGCAUUGUUCCUGUGUGGAGUGAAGGGCAGAAGUUGGAGAAAGAAUUCUUUUCCCGUUGCCUCUGCACACAACGGUUUUGUAAUGCAGGUUUUUUAUGAUUUUGAGUUGCAAUAGUACACGUGAGCCCCUCAUUGCAUGGGCCACGGGGAACAUGUUGGCAUCAAGGCUACGGAUGAACGUGGCCAAGUGGACAGACGGGACACAGCGAGGUGGACAGGAGCUGCCCGACUCACCUGGCAGCCGGAACCAGAAGAGAAAACAUUUAACAUUCAAGGUCCGACAGGCACCGCGACAAGCACCACUUUCACAUUCAGUAGUUUGCUUCACCUGCGACUACUUAGCGCUACAUAUUGUCAACACUCGGGGUAAUGACAGCGCUGAGAAAUGAAUGCUGUGAAUGCACAAACACGCAUAUAGAGACACAAAGCGAGACACUGAGACGCACAGCCCGGAGGGGGGGGGGGGGGGGGGUCUCUGCAUCUCACCAUAGAGACGAGGGCUCAUUGAUCUUCCCAGGAGGGGGGUUACUAGAGAUCAAUCUCCCUGAACAACAGUGACCCCUGGUGGAGGAUCAAAGUUCCCUGACAGGGAACAAGUCUUCUUCCAGCCCCGUGAUGAAAACAACAACUAACGACAACAAUGCUUCAGCAAAGUGACUAUUUACAC
ensembl:lncRNA